rnacentral:rRNA from 1 species
CAGCACCUCAAGUGGUCAGGACGAUUAUUGGGCCUAAAGCAUCCGUAGCCGGCGCUGUAAGUUUUCGGUUAAAUCUGUACGCUCAACGUACAGGCUGCCGGGAAUACUGCAGCGCUAGGGAGUGGGAGAGGUAGACGGUACUCGGUAGGAAGGGGUAAAAUCCUUUGAUCUAUUGAUGACCACCUGUGGCGAAGGCGGUCUACCAGAACACGUCCGACGGUGAGGGAUGAAAGCUGGGGGAGCAAACCGGAUUAGAUACCCGCGUAGUCC